UCCCUGGUGGCUUAGAUGGUAAAGCAUCUGCCUGCAAUGCAGGAGACCCGGGUUUGAUCCCUGGGUCGGGAA
rnacentral:tRNA from 1 species